rnacentral:tRNA from 1 species
ACCUGGGUGGCUUAGUCGGUUAAGCACCUGGCUUCCGCUCAGGUCAUGAUCUUGAGGUUCGUGGGUUUGAGCCCCGCGUCGGGCU